rnacentral:rRNA from 1 species
CCUACGGGAGGCAGCAGUGGGGAAUAUUGCACAAUGGUCGAAAGCCUGAUGCAGCAACGCCGCGUGAAGGAAGAAGGGUUUCGUCUCGUAAACUUCUAUCAACAGGGACGAAAGAAAUGACGGUACCUGAAUAAUAAGCCCCGGCUAACUACGUGCCAGCAGCCGCGGUAAUACGGAGGGGGCAAGCGUUAUCCGGAAUUACUGGGUGUAAAGGGUGAGUAGGCGGCAUGGUAAGCCAGAUGUGAAAGCCUUGGGCUUAACCCGAGGAUUGCAUUUGGAACUAUCAAGCUAGAGGACAGGAGAGGAAAGCGGAAUUCCUAGUGUAGCGGUGAAAUGCGUAGAUAUUAGGAAGAACACCGGUUGCGAAGGCGGCUUUCUGGACUGAAACUGACGCUGAGGCACGAAAGCGUGGGGAGCGAACAGGAUUAGAUACCCCUGUAGUC